AGAGUUUGAUCAUGGCUCAGGACAAACGCUGGCGGCGUGCGUAACACAUGCAAGUCGAGCGGACCAGCCCUUCGGGACUGGUUAGCGGCGGACGGGUGAGUAACACGUGAGUCACCACCCCUGGAGUGGGGGAUACCGCGCCGAAGGGCACGUUAAUCCCGCAUACGCUCGAUGGUAACAUCGAGGAAAGCAGCAAUGCGCUCCUGGACGGGCUCGCGUCCGAUUAGCUAGUUGGCGGGGUAAUGGCCCACCAAGGCUGCGAUCGGUAGCUGGUCUGAGAGGAUGAUCAGCCACACUGGGAUUGAGAACGGCCCAGACUCCUACGGGGGGCAGCAGUGAGGAAUCUUCGGCAAUGGGCGACAGCCUGACCGAGCAACGCCGCGUGGAGGACGAAGCCCUUCGGGGUGUAAACUCCUUCUCACUGGGACGAAUUCAGACGGUACCAGUGGAAGAAGUCUCGGCUAACUACGUGCCAGCAGCCGCGGUAAUACGUAGGAGACGAGCGUUGUCCGGAAUGACUGGGCGUAAAGGGCGCGCAGGCGGCCCAUCGCGUGUCUGGUGAAAGCUCUCGGCUUAACCGGGAGAGGUCCAGGCAAACGGGUGGGCUUGAGCAUCGGAGAGGGGCAUGGAACUCCGGGUGGAGCGGUGAAAUGCGUAGAGAUCCGGAAGAACACCUAUGGCGAAGGCAGUGCCCUGGCCGAUUGCUGACGCUCAGGCGCGAAAGCGUGGGGAGCAAACAGGAUUAGAUACCCUAGUAGUCC
rnacentral:rRNA from 1 species